AUCAGCUCCAUUUUAACAUAGCAUCCUCCGAGUCCCCAUAGUUCACUGCGGACAAGCAAGCAGAAAUCGUAGCAUAGCAUAGGAAUCACACCUCCUACAAGCGUUUUGGCAGAGUAUUGAAGAGUGGCGCUCUGACGUACCAGUAUGUAGUGCUCACAACCCGUCGGUCACUCUGGCGAAGGGUCACGUAGGAGUAUUAAUCAGUCAAAGCUGAGGAAAUGAAAAAUAAUGCUCACUGCAAUCCAGCGGGUGGUGGCAAGGUGCAGAAACCCUGGCACCUACCAAAAUCACACUGGUGUGCACUCAGCUGCAAUCAGUGCAACUCAAAGCAGCUGCCUGGACCUCUCUCCUGAGAGAAGGAGGGUUUCAGCUUGAGGAGCAUUGAAAGAGGCCACUGGUUUACAACCUGAUGAAUCCUGCUUUGAAACCAUGUGAUGACCUACAAUAAAUGGAAAAAGCAGA